rnacentral:rRNA from 1 species
AACGAACGCUGGCGGCAGGCUUGACACAUGCAAGUCGAGCGCCCCGCAAGGGGAGCGGCAGACGGGUGAGUAACGCGUGGGAACAUACCCUUUCCUGCGGAAUAGCUCCGGGAAGCUGGAAUUAAUACCGCAUACGCCCUACGGGGGAAAGAUUUAUCGGGGAAGGAUUGGCCCGCGUUGGAUUAGCUAGUUGGUGGGGUAAAGGCCUACCAAGGCGACGAUCCAUAGCUGGUCUGAGAGGAUGAUCAGCCACAUUGGGACUGAGACACGGCCCAAACUCCUGCGGGAGGAGGCAGUGGGGAAUAUUGGACAAUGGGCGCAGGCCUGAUCCAGCCAUGCCGCGUGAGUGAUGAAGGCCUUAGGGUUGUAAAGCUCUUUCACCGGAGAAGAUAAUGACGGUAUCCGGAGAAGAAGCCCCGGCUAACUUCGUGCCAGCAGCCGCCGUAACAC